rnacentral:rRNA from 1 species
AUUGAACGCUGGCGGCAUGCCUUACACAUGCAAGUCGAACGGUAACAGGUCUUCGGAUGCUGACGAGUGGCGAACGGGUGAGUAAUACAUCGGAACGUGCCUAGUAGUGGGGGAUAACUACUCGAAAGAGUGGCUAAUACCGCAUGAGAUCUACGGAUGAAAGCAGGGGAUCGCAAGACCUUGUGCUACUAGAGCGGCCGAUGGCAGAUUAGGUAGUUGGUGGGAUAAAAGCUUACCAAGCCGACGAUCUGUAGCUGGUCUGAGAGGACGAUCAGCCACACUGGGACUGAGACACGGCUCAGACUCCUACGGGAGGCAGCUGUGGGAAUUUUGGACAAUGGGCGCAAGCCUGAUCCAGCAAUGCCGCGUGCAGGAUGAAGGCCUUCGGGUUGUAAACUGCUUUUGUACGGAACGAAAAGCCCUGGGUUAAUACCCUGGGGUCAUGACGGUACCGUAAGAAUAAGCACCGGCUAACUACGUGCCAGCAGCCGCAGUAAGAC